rnacentral:rRNA from 1 species
CCUAGCAGUCGUAGUAGUAGUGGUCGUAGUACCAAGUCAGUACCUGGUCAGUACCUGGAUGGGAAACUGCCUGGGAACACCGGGUGUUGUUGGCU